rnacentral:rRNA from 1 species
CCCUUAGACGUUCUGGGCCGCACGCGCGCUACACUGACGAAGGCAACGAGCUUUCCUUUACCGAAAGGUACGGGUAAUCUUUUGAAACUUCGUCGUGCUGGGGAUAGAUCCUUGCAAUUUUUGAUCUUAAACGAGGAAUUCCUAGUAAGCGCAAGUCAUCAACUUGCGUUGAUUACGUCCCUGCCCUUUGUACACAUCGCCCGUCGCUACUACCGAUUGAAUGGUUUAGUGAGGCCUUCGGAUCCGCGACUCGUUUUGUGGAGAAGUUGGACAAACUCAGUCAUUUAGAGGAAGUAAAAGUCGUAACA